GAAACAGGUGCUAAUCCGCAUACCCAUAGUUCCCGCAUGGUAACUAUGUAAAAGGUGGCUAUGCUACCGCUUUUGGAUGGGCCCGCGACGCAUUAGCUAGUUGGUGGGGUAAAGGCUUACCAAGGCAAUGAUGCGUAGCCGAACUGAGAGGUUGAUCGGCCACAUUGGGACUGAGACACGGCCCAAACUCCUACGGGAGGCAGCAGUAGGGAAUCUUCCACAAUGGGCGAAAGCCUGAUGGAGCAACGCCGCGUGGGUGAAGAAGGUCUUCGGAUCGUAAAACCCUGUUGUUAGAGAAGAAAGUGCGUGAGAGUAACUGUUCACGUUUCGACGGUAUCUAACCAGAAAGCCACGGCUAACUACGUGCCAGCAGCCGCGGUAAUACGUAGGUGGCAAGCGUUAUCCGGAUUUAUUGGGCGUAAAGAGAACGCAGGCGGUCUUUUAAGUCUGAUGUGAAAGCCUUCGGCUUAACCGGAGUAGUGCAUUGGAAACUGGGAGACUUGAGUGCAGAAGAGGAGAGUGGAACUCCAUGUGUAGCGGUGAAAUGCGUAGAUAUAUGGAAGAACACCAGUGGCGAAAGCGGCUCUCUGGUCUGUAACUGACGCUGAGGUUCGAAAGCGUGGGUAGCAAACAGGAUUAGAUACCCUGGUAGUCC
rnacentral:rRNA from 1 species